rnacentral:rRNA from 1 species
UACAGAGGGUGCAAGCGUUAAUCGGAAUGAUUGGGCGUAAAGGGCGCGUAGGCGGAUUUGUAAGUCAGAUGUGAAAUUCCAAGGCUCAACUUUGGAGCUGCAUUUGAAACUGCGAAUCUAGAGGGUUGACGGAGAAAACGGAAUUCCACGUGUAGCGGUGAAAUGCGUAGAUAUGUGGAAGAACACCGGUGGCGAAAGCGGUUUUCUAGUUAACACCUGACGCUGAGGCGCGAGAGCAAGGGGAUCAAACAGG